AUAAAUAGCAACGAAGUAAAUGCGUAGUAAGUUGACGGUUUAGUAGCCUCGUUCCACUGCGCUCCAGAAGAUUCUACGCCGAAGCCGGUCUAUAAAAGCGUGCCGGUAUGCCGGCUCCCCAUCAUUCACUAACGAGCCAUCGCUACAUUCACAUCAAGAGUAUAGUCGAAAACUCCGAGUUAUAUUUUUAACCAUUUUGAGAUAUUUACCAUAAAUUAACUGGUGACAACAACAUCACAGGAUCAUGUAAAGGCAGCAAUUGUGCGUGCGGAGCGCGCUAAUAACCCAGUGCCCUAGGGGCUUGGCGUAAUAAGUAAUCCGUACACUUCAGCUUUUACUAUUCAUCUCAUGCUCCUUUGCUGGGUUAAGUUUAAUCAAACUCUGCCCAUUCUCAAUGAAUAAUCCAAGCAAGUUAUAGUGCUUGCUUUGUACAUUCGGGAUGUAGCGUCAACAGCAUUAUCGCCGAAUAUACAAACGGUGACAUACAACAUCAAUUAAUGGAAGCAGAUUAAGUUAUGUAUAUACAGAUUAAUUUAAGAAAAGAAAACGAACGAAAAAUUCAAUAAGAGCGAAUAGAUUAAGAUCCGGAUAGUUAGGAGCUCAUAAGCGGGCCCCGCUCGCUGGGCUUUUGAGUUUGAGAGCCAGGCGAUAAGAUACAGUCGCAAAAAAAUCAUAUUUGUAUAGAUUUUCGUUACCUUUUUGGGCGCACUAAUUGUAAGCACUCCGUCUGAAGAAAGGCUUGAUGUUACUUCCAGUGGAUCGUGGCAUGAAGGAAGAAUAUAUCUUCUAAUAAAGUGCCUACUGAUAAAGCCGUGCUCGUCCUUUUUUUCUUCGUGCUUCGCUUCCACAAUAAUAUUAUUGUCAACCGUUUUGACAAUUAUUUCAUCCGGUGAAAAUUGUUGUAUAUCUAAAAUCACCUGUAAUAAAUAAUUUACUGGAGCUUAAAAGUUAAUAACGAGGUACAAAUAUUCUGUUAUACGCAAACUAUUAACAUAAGAUUAUUUUUAAAAGUUAUUGAAAGCAGUUGAUUUGAUAAAGAAAAAAAAAUAUAAUUUAUCAGUAUUUUAAACUUUUUACUAAAAAUUUCUAGUCCAUUUGUAAGACAUUUUUCUAACAGAUUGAUAGAUUUUUUUUUUUCUUUUAGACUCGCGAGUUCGCUCGCGAGUCGAAGUACUGCUAGAUAAUAGCCGCUUUUAACUGUAAAUAUUAAUUUUUUUCGUUUUUAUAUUAAAUAAAUAUAAAUUUUUACCUCAAUAUAAAAACAUUUAAAAAUAUACAAUAAAUAAAAUGUAGCUGUUAGCUAACCUACUUGUGUGAAAAAUACUCUUAAUUAAAAGUUGUAGGUUGACAUACAAGUGGGUGAAUUAAAAUGCUAGUCGUGAUGAACGAUUAUACAAACAAAAAAUCAAGUGUUUCACUUAAUUACAUAAAACAAUAUCAUAUGUUUGAUUAUUAUCAUAUUCGACUCCAAGAUUCAUGCAAAGUUAAUUAUUAUUAUCAGAAAUAAACUCAAGAUUAUUAAUUGUUUACUAAUAUUUUUACUUUUAUCUACGGAAAUAUAUUGACUGUGAGAGUAACGAGGCUAACAAGAUAACGUCUCUUGUGUUAUUAUAUUGGCUGUUUGAAUUUAAAUCUAUUUAUUUUUUUAUAUACAUUUAGUAAAUAGAGAGAGCUAAUAGUGAGUUACACUUAGCCCUACACCCCCUUGGGGUGUUGAGGGUGUUUUCAUUAUUUUUUAUGGUACAACAAUAUAUACAAAUAUAAAAUUUAAAAAAAAAUUGGGUAAUUAUUUAAGACUGAACUGGGAACUUGAGUCAACAUUAAAGUACAUAAAUGAAAAUAAAUUCAAGGGAGAAAUUUUUGAUAGUAGUUGAUUAAACUAUAAUUUAUCGGCAUUAAAUUUUAUAAAUUUUUAUUAAAAUUAUAAAAUUUAUAAAAGCAUUUAAUAGCAGUGUUGAAAACAAAUAAAAUUACUAAGCAAAUUUGAAGUUAUAAUUUUAUAUCUUAUUUUCCCCCCUCUCUUAAAGAGGGGGUAUCGGAAUAUUAUUUUUCAUUACUAAUUAAAAUUCAAUAAUUUCUGUACUAUAAUUAAAAAUAUAUUAUUUACUUAACAUUAAAUUUACUUGCGUUUUAUAAAAUUUUAAAUAAUGUAACCUAAUUAGUAACUUAUUUUUAUUUCCUUUUAUUUUAUUUAUUUUUCAUAUUUAAAUAAUUUUAUUUGUUAUUGAAAUUUCGAAAAACAUUGAGAAGAAAGCUCUAAUUUGAUUGUUUUGAAUAGAUAUUGGUGGUUGAAUAAAAAAAGAUCAAAUUUGAAUAACAUAUAUAAUAAUAAGUUUAAAAAAAAAACAACAACUUUAAAUGGUAUUUAAACGGUGGUGUGAAACAUAAUCUAAAAUCAUCUAGAUUGUAUGAGAUCAUAAAAUAAACAUCAUAGUUGUUAACGAGUUACAAUCUAUCGUUACAAAAAAUAAGAUAACUAAAAAACUAACAAUUUAAUUUUUAAAAAUUAUACGUUUUAUCCAGUAGUAAAGUCAGAUAUAUAAGUAAAAUCUGAAAAGAUAUUUGCCAACAAGAGAAAGAACCAUUUGCACGGCUUUGUCGAUUUUUAGCGUAGUGGUUAUAGGGCACAAUUACAGAAGCUUUGAAUUAAUUUGAUAUACUAAUAAAAGUUGAUUUUUUUUAAAUUUCAUAUUUAAAGAUUUGAAUAUUGUUCUAUUUUUUCGUGUCGUGGAAUUAAAAGAUACGUUUAUCGUAUUUUUUAAUUUCCACGACACGUUAUAAGCAAAAUAUUUUAAUUUAAAAAAAAAAAGAAGUUUUUUUUUUAGUUCUGAUUACUUUUUUUAGAUCACUAAUAAUAUAAUUUUGUGAUUUAUUUAUUAGCUAACAGCAUUACCUUUAAAAUAGCGAACUAAAAUCACUUUGAGUCACGUUUUUAUUAAUAUAUCAGUACAGUUGUAACUGGUAAAGUCUUAUAAUAUCGGAUUUUAAUUGAAUAAGAAGUAAAUCAAUUAAUUUUAAUCGAUAGAUUAAAUUAAUAGUUUUUUAAAUUCAUAUAUAUUUUGGUUCGUUUUUUUCGAGUUUUUUUUUAGAAGCGUAUAUUCAUUACUUUUAAAUUGAAAACAGUUUAAUAAGUUUUAAACCACCAACGACUCUUGAUUUUUCUGAUACUUUUUAAAUUCCAAGUAUCAGAAAAAUCAAGGGUCGUUGAAAAAAUCCUGUUGAAAAUGACAUAAUAAAAUCCGUAAAACCGAAAACAAAAUAAUGCAUUUCGACGUUAUGAUAAAAACUCCCUAAGACCUUAGAGUAUAGUUAUAGUUUCGGUAGAGUGUCAUAAAUAUGACGAUAUUGAAAAAAAAAACCUCUUGACAAAAUAGCAUUCGAUAAAAGUUAAAAGUAUUUAUUCCUGAGCAAAUAUACUCUAAGCCUAAAAUAUAAUUGACAUCAUAGAGCUAAACGCUUUGCUUAUAAAUCGUCUUAUGCGUAUUAAAAAAAUAAUAAUCAGCAUGACUAAUCAUUACCCAAUAUUUAUACAUAGCAAUGUAUAAUAUAAGGGUUUCAUCAUAAUCAUUAGAUUAAAUCAUAUCUAUUUAAAUUUAUGUUUACUUAUAUAACUACGCGAUAUUUACAGUAUGGUCUAUAAUGUUAUAAUUAAUAUUAUUAAUUCGUAAUUAGCAUUCCAGUAAAUAAUAAUUAUAACUAUAUUACUAUGCAAAAUAUAAACUCUUCAAUAUUGUGUGCUUUUAAUAUUCACUGUCAGCUACAUUUAAAUUUAAAAUGAAAAUUAGUCAAGCCAGUGGUUCUUAAAAAUUCGGUAAAAUGCUUAAAAAAAAAAAAAAUUCGUCGAGAAUAUUCGUCGCUAUCCCAUUCAAAAAAUUCUUACCUCGAAUUUGUCCUUGUCGCACUGAAUAGUGCUCGCACCACCAGAAUUAGAUCUUGCGAGAGUUCUCCAUGGUCUGUAAUACAUCGAGGUAGGAAAAAUUGAACGUGGUCUAUUGAUAUUCCACGAUGAAAGACCAGAAAAUAAAUCAUCACGACUUAUAGCACUACCAAAGUGUUGAUCUAUAAGCCUUGAUGUCGGACGAUCAAAGUCAUCCCACCAAUCGCGAAACAUCAGAGGUACCACUGACAUAUUCUAUUAAGGAAUAAGUUAAUUAGGUAUAUUAAUAAAUAUAUAAUGUAAUAAAUAAAACGAUGAGUUAUAAUUUGUAUUAUUAUCGGCAUUACUUUAAGUGAGUGAGGGUUAUUAAUUAAUGAAGUAUCAUAAUUAAAUCGAGCUGUACUUUCUGUGAGAUUUAAUAUUCGUUAGAUAAUUGCAUGGACAUCUUUUAAAUUAAAAUCGUAGGGUUUGAAUAAAAUUGCUAGGAUAAUAACUGAGGGGCUUUAACACCGAAUAUUUAACGUACUUUUACAUACACUGUAAACAAUCGGAAGUUUUGGAGAAGGAUUAUGAGUAAAUACGGACCUUAUUUUAUUCAUAAUUCACUCUGUUACUCAGAGUUCGGGUAAAUAAAGAAUAUAUCGGGGUGAUUUCGGAUGUCGAUUUUUUCUUAAUCUGCAUUCACCCUGAUCCGGAGUUUUAAUAGAAAAAUAAACUCCCGUUCGGGGUGAAUUUGAUGAAUAAAAAAUCCUCGUCUUCACAUUCGCUCUGGAUUUAAUCCGCGUUUGCUCAACAAAUUGUUUACAGUGUAUAUAUGUAGGCUUAAAUAAUUAUGAUAAUCUAAAUGCAAGAUAAAAUAAUUAAAGUACUAAUGAUUAAUGAUCUUCAAAUUAAUUAAUAGUUAUAUCAUUCAAAUAUCAUAUUCGUAAUAUACGUAUUAAGUUAAAUUGAUUGGAAAAAAAAAAUUUGAGCAUUGAACUGGUCAGUAAUUUAAAUGAUCGCACAAUUAUUUGAAUAAUUAGAUUAAGUGAAUUAACGGAUUAAGGCUAUCAAUAAUACUAGUAAUAGUAUAUGCGUUCUUCCAAAUUAAGUACUUAAGUUAGUUUCGUUUAUUAAUAUAUUUUUUUUUAAUUAAUGAACUAUAGUUUUAUUAAAAUUUUAAAUAAAUUUAUUUCAUUAUUUUUUCAAAUAAUUCAGUUGAUCGUUUAUUAAAUUAGCGUCUGAUUCUUUAACUUUCAAUUUUUUUUAAAUUUUUAAUUACUUUAUUUUCGUUAGUAAUUGAAUUUUAAAAUAAAUUAUGAUUGAGAUUUUAAUUAAAUAAUAAUUGAUAAUAAUUAUGAUAAGUACGUCUUAAUAAUGAUAAUAAUAAUUAGAAAUAAAAAUGGUCAAGCUGUGACUCGAGACAAAAAAUAAAGAAAAAAAUAAACUUUAAACAGCAAACAAUCUCAGGUUACAUCGAAUAUUAAGAUUCACAGUGAAAAAUAAAAGAUUACUGAUUAAUUUAGUGUUUAUCGCGUCUUAAAUACAUCACUUUUAAAAAGUUUAAAUUGAAGUUAACAAAUUUUCAUUUUUAUGUAUCGUUUUUAAAAAACUUUUUUUAAAUUUUUAAUUGAAAAAGCCAAGAGAUAAAUGAUAGAGUGAGUGUUUCUUUAAAAAAAAAAAAAAACGCGUGAAUCGAAACAUAUAAUAAGCAAAAAAAAUUAAGUAUUGAUAAGUACAAUUACUUAGUAUAAUUAACUAUGCCUAUAGGCGAUUGCACUCUCGAAUCGCGAAGCGCAGUGGAUAUGCUCUGUACUCAUUUAAAAAUUUUAUUCAAUGCUUUUUUUUAAAAUUAUUACAUAUAUUUAAAAGUAAUUAUCGUUCACAAAUGUAUACUAAUUUUCUUUUUAAUUUCAUACUUUCGGAUAAUUUAAAAAAAAAAAAUCAUAAUUUAAGAUCAGUUGAAAUAAUUCAACAUUACGUUCCUACCUAGAUGUAAAUUAAACGAGCCUUAAUAUAAUUAUUAACAUAAGAACAAAUAAACUCAUCGUUAUAUAGAUUUACAUUUAAUAAUUAUUAAAAUUAUACGCACUGAUUAAAUCGCACUUUUGCUUAACUUCUUAGUUCACAAGCUGAGAAGUAACUGAGAGCUAGUGACGCAAACUCGUGAACUUUAAAUAGUUAUCUCGCUGGUGGGAUAGUUUACUUAAAUUAAAAAUUACACGAAAUUUAUGAACCAUUUGACUAAAAUAAAGCUUAAGAUUUUUCGAAAUGAUUCACGUUGUCGAAAAUAUUCUUAUGACAAAAUAUACAACUAUAGCAGUCAUGAAUAUAAGAAUGAAUAAGAAAUAUUUAAAGACUAGUGAAACAAAUAUUACGUAUACGUAGACAAUCGAAGCAAUGCUGGAAAUUCCAUACCUAUGAACGUGAAUAAAAAUAGUGAACAUAAAAUAUUUUGGGAAAAACGUAUUUGAACUAAAAUGUAUGCUUAGAUUACGCAUGAAUAAAAUUAAUAAGUACUAUUGCUAAUUAUUUGAAAAAAAAUAAUAAUAAUAAUUAUAACGUGAGUGAGCGUUUUACAGGGGAUUAAUAUCUUACUGUUUAUAAAGGAGGAUAAAAAAAAAAAAAUAAGUGAAAAAAAAAAAAUGUUUAACUGUAAACAUAAUUUAUCAUUUUUCUUGUAAUAAUUGCACAUCGAUCGAUCAAUAUAAUUUUGGAAUAUUAAUUAUAGCUAUAUAAAGGUAAUCAAAGUGCUAAUUAAUAUAAUAUUAAUAAUUUAGAGUCAACUAAUAAUAAGAAAAAUUUUUUUUUUGCUUAAAUAAUCGCUAUCAAUUACUUCAUUGACUUAAUAACAUUAAAUACAAAAGUAAAUUACAAAAUUUAGUAUCUCUAAUAAUAAGACUUUUAGUAAUUAAGCAACUACUAAACCUCAUAGUCAUACAACAAGUAUCACUACAUUAUUCCAAUUAAUUUAAAAAAAACAACAAAAAAAAAAAAAACAAAAAAAAAAUAAUGUAGUUUUUAAUAAAUAUUAUUUGACAUGAAAAUUUACUUACAUUUUGACAAAGUCAUGUAAGUGCAUAAUACGGAUGUAAAAUUAAUGUAUGACUGUAACUGGAUAAAACGAAAAAUUUGUAAUCUAUUAUAUAAAGCAUUUAUUACUAUUAUUAUUUGUCAACGGCGAGAAAAUGUAUUAUACAUACAUAAAUAUUUAUACCAUAGCAUGUUGCAAACUUAAAAGAAAGUUUUUACUGUAAAGCUAUGUAGUAAAAAAGUGUCACCACCUAUAAUGUUGGCUUUUGAACCUUAAAUACCAUUAAAUAAUCUUGUAUCGAGUAACCAUCAAUUCUAAUGUGGAAAUACCAACAUGUAAUAAUUAAAAUGAAAUAAAAUACCUUGUAUCAACACUACUACUAUCAUAAAAUAUAUGUAUUAAUAACUUGUCAAAUUAUCAGGUAAAUAAAAACAUAUGCAAGUUCCAACAAUAGAAA